AGCGAGUCCUAAACAGCAGGUGCGGUAGAGAGCGAGUCCUAAACAGCAGGUGCGGUAGAGAGCGAGUCCUAAACAGCAGGUGGGGUAGAGAGCGAGUCCUAAACAGCAGGUGCGGUAGAGAGCGAGUCCUAAACAGCAGGUGGGGUAGAGAGCGAGUCCUAAACAGCAGGUGGGGUAGAGAGCGAGUCCUAAACAGCAGGUGCGGUAGAGAGCGAGUCCUAAACAGCAGGUGGGGUAGAGAGCGAGUCCUAAACAGCAGGUGGGGUAGAGAGCGAGUCCUAAACAGCAGGUGGGGUAGAGAGCGAGUCCUAAACAGCAGGUGCGGUAGAGAUGGAGAGAGAGUCCUAAACAGCCG